AGGGAAGGACAGCACCCAAGAAAAGAGAGACUCCAGAGAGCAGAGAGGAGGGAUCCCCCAGCCCCCCUAACCCUGACGCAGAACAACACUCUCUCAGAGCGUGAUUUCAGAUGGUGGAAGAACUUGCAAUCUGGCAAUAAGGCCUUUCUCAGCUAGAGUGGCCGAGCUGAAGCUUCAUGGACUCCAGCCCUGAUCGCUGCAGGACCUGUGCUGUGGUUGGGAAUUCAGUUAAUUUGCUGGGGUCUCACUAUGGACCCCUCAUUGACCUUCAUGACGUCAUCAUGAGGUUCAAUACAGCUCGUACUGUGGGCUAUGAAGGGAUGUGGGGAACAAAACGACUCUCCACAUCAUGUACCCAGAGAGCGCUGUGGAUUUGGAUGACCACACACAUCUCAUAUUAUUUCCCUUCAAAAUAAGGGACCUUGAGUGGCUAGUCAGCGCUUUCACCACAAAAUCUGUGAAAAUGACAAACAAAGGGUUGAAAUCAACAGUCAAAGCAAAUCAGGGUUUGGUGGGUUUUAAGUGAUGGUCAUGGUUUGCCAGAUACCACAUAGUGGUGACCUUUUACAAAUGUUUUCUAGUUCUGAAAGGUACAAUAUGUCAAUGUAACACACACUUGUCCUUUCCAUUUGGGAAGACGCAGAGGCGAACUGUCCGCCGCGCCCCCCUUUCCCCUUCUCACACAGCUUCUGUGCACGGCACCUCGUCAGCAAUUUCGUCCUUGAACUGCUUUAAACACUCAGUUUACUUGCUAAAUUUGAUUAAACAAUUAAAUACAAUACUAAUAUAAAGUAAAAAUAAGUGUUAUCUAGCGAUCUGUUUUCUGUAUUAUGUUAUUUCGUCUUUGGCAACAUGAGCGCGAAUGUUUUUGAAAGCCCGCUUUAAACACUCAGUUUACUAGCUAAAUUUGAUUAAACAAUUAAAUACAGUACAAAUAUAAAGUAAAAACAAGUGUUAUCUAGCGAUCCGUUAUCUGUAUUAGCCUAUGUAAUUUCGUCUUUGGCAACAUGAGUGCGAAUGUUUUUUGAAACCAGCCCGGCAACCAGUCCCGGUUCUACGGGGGUGCAUAAGCAUGCAUUGCACCCCCAAAAAAAAUGUUUGCACCCUCAAUUGAAAAAAAAUUAAAAAGAUUAUUUUUUUUAUAAAUAUGAUAAAAA
ensembl:lncRNA